rnacentral:rRNA from 1 species
AACAGGAUUAGAUACCCUGGUAGUCCACGCCGUAAACGAUGUCGACUUGGAGGUUGUGCCCUUGAGGCGUGGCUUCCGGAGCUAACGCGUUAAGUCGACCGCCUGGGGAGUACGGCCGCAAGGUUAAAACUCAAAUGAAUUGACGGGGGCCCGCACAAGCGGUGGAGCAUGUGGUUUAAUUCGAUGCAACGCGAAGAACCUUACCUACUCUUGACAUCCAGAGAACUUAGCAGAGAUGCUUUGGUGCCUUCGGGAACUCUGAGACAGGUGCUGCAUGGCUGUCGUCAGCUCGUGUUGUGAAAUGUUGGGUUAAGUCCCGCAACGAGCGCAACCCUUAUCCUUUGUUGCCAGCGAUUCGGUCGGGAACUCAAAGGAGACUGCCAGUGAUAAACUGGAGGAAGGUGGGGAUGACGUCAAGUCAUCAUGGCCCUUACGAGUAGGGCUACACACGUGCUACAAUGGCGCAUACAAAGAGAAGCGACCUCGCGAGAGCAAGCGGACCUCAUAAAGUGCGUCGUAGUCCGGAUUGGAGUCUGCAACUCGACUCCAUGAAGUCGGAAUCGCUAGUAAUCGUAGAUCAGAAUGCUACGGUGAAUACGUUCCCGGGCCUUGUACACACCGCCCGUCACACCAUGGGAGUGGGUUGCAAAAGAAGUAGGUAGCUUAACCUUCGGGAGGGCGCUUACCACUUUGUGAUUCAUGACUGGGGUGAAGUCGUAACAAGGUAACC